AUUGAACGCUGGCGGCGGGCCUAACACAUGCAAGUCGAACGGAAACACGAAGAGCUUUGUCUCUUUCCGGUAGCGGGGGGCGGGGGUGUGACAUGUGGGUCAACUUCCUUUAUGACGGGGGUUACUUCGUGGAACCGGUACCUAUAACGGCUAAUAUACGCAACCCCAUGGAGCAGGAGUUCAUGGCCGCUUGCCUGGCACUGUGAGCAGAUGGCGGGCCGCAUUAGCUAGUUGGUAAGGUAACGGCUUACCAAGGCCACGAUGCGUAGCUGAGCUGAGAGGGUGAUCGGCCACACUGGAACUGAGACACGGUCCAGACUCCUACGGGAGGCAGCAGUGGGGAAUAUUCGGCAAUGGGCGCAAGCCUGACGGAGCAACGCCGCGUGAGUGAUGAAGGUCUUCGGAUCGUAAAACUCUGUUAUUGGGGAAGAACAGAAGUGUGAGUAACUAUGGACGUUUUGACGGUACCUAAUGAAAAAGCAACGGCUAACUACGUG
rnacentral:rRNA from 1 species